GCUCGCUUAACUCAGCUGGUAGAGUGCCACUAUGACAUGGUGGAAGUCACAGGUUCAAGUCCUGUAGCGAGCACCA
rnacentral:tRNA from 1 species